rnacentral:rRNA from 1 species
AUUGAACGCUGGCGGCAGGCCUAACACAUGCAAGUCGAACGAGUGGCGGACGGGUGCUUAAUGUCUAGGAAACUGCCCGAUGGCGGGGGAUAACUACUGGAAACGGUAGCUAAUACCGCAUACCAUCGGAUGUGCACAGAUGGGAUUAGCUCGUAGGUGGGGUAACGGCUAACCUAGGCGACGAUCCCUAGCUGGUCUGAGAGGAUGACCAGCCACACUGGAACUGAGACACGGUCCAGACUCCUACGGGAGGCAGCAGUGUGGAAUAUUGCACAAUGGGCGCAAGCCUGAUGCAGCCAUGCCGCGUGUAUGAAGAAGGCCUUCGGGUUGUAAAGUACUUUCAGCGAGGAGGCGUUACUCGCAGAAGAAGCCCCGGCUAACUCCGUGCCAGCAGCCGCGGUAAUUC